ACGAAUUGUAAUGCUGAAAAUGCACACAUGAAGGAGGAUUUAGAAGUAAGGGGGCAAGCAGAGUGCCCCCCUGAAAUGGUUCUGAAGCGUGCACACACCGCCCGUCACUCUCCCCAAGCUAGAUAUAUAGCCUUUAAAUAAACAGUUUUGCCCUACAAAGGGGAGGCAAGUCGUAACAUGGUAAGUGUA
rnacentral:rRNA from 1 species